GCAUUGCAGAGAGACCUGUCUUAACAAAUAAGAAAGCAGGGUCUGUCCAGGGCAGGUGACUCUUGCCUGGCAUCCAGUGGUAAGGCCAAGCAGGAACCCAGUACGCUGACUCCACACUGGGCAUCUGGGUGAGAGGUUGCUUCCCUCAGCACACUGCUGCAGAGAGAGGGUGGGCCAGUGAUUCUCCGCUGGGUUCCCUGUCCCCUCCUCCUCUGUCCCCAACCAGCGGAAACGAUUGGGUUAACUCAAGCUGUGAAGUGAGCUGGCGAUUUGGGUGCUAAUUAAAACGACAGGAAGUAAACAGCCUCCAAAAUACCCAGCAUGCGCCCCCUAAACCCACUAGGCCUGCGCACUUCAUCUUUUCCCCCCAGCUUGGCGCAGUGGGCCUGUCUCCAUGGCAACUGAGCCGAGCUGCAGAGAUCAAAGCAGGAGAUGGGUUAGCUCCAAACCUGCAGAACCGGGGCGGGUGAGGGAUUUCUGGAAAGAGCCUGGAGAAGGAAGCCCCCCAGAAAUCUCCCCCUCCCUUCCAAUGCCAGUCUCCUUACCCCCUCCCUGAAGCAUGCUGGCACGGCAGGAGAGACUACCAUGGCCUGGUGGUUGGACUUCCUGGUUUCACUUGACCUAGGAAUUGGAUGUGUAAAUAAGGCAGAGGGAAGCAUAAACCUUACAUGGCUGGAUGUCACCAGAGCAACGCUAGA
rnacentral:lncRNA from 1 species